rnacentral:rRNA from 1 species
UUUAGAGAUAGAGGGUGCUCGAAAGAGAGCCGUAACACAGGUGCUGCAUGGCUGUCGUCAGCUCGUGUCGUGAGAUGUUGGGUUAAGUCCCGCAACGAGCGCAACCCUUGUCAUUAGUUGCUACAUUCAGUUGGGCACUCUAAUGAGACUGCCGGUGACAAGCCGGAGGAAGGUGGGGAUGACGUCAAGUCCUCAUGGCCCUUAUAGGUGGGGCUACACACGUCAUACAAUGGCUGGUACAAAGGGUUGCCAACCCGCGAGGGGGAGCCAAUCCCAUAAAGCCAGUCGUAGUCCGGAUCGUAGUCUGCAACUCGACUACGUGAAGUCGGAAUCGCUAGUAAUCGUGGAUCAGAAUGUCACGGUGAAUACGUUCCCGGGUCUU